GGAGGUCACUGCUAUUGGGAUUCGACUAAGCCAUGCGAGUCGAGAGGGUUCGGCCCUCGGCUGACUGCUCAGUAACACGUGGAUAAUUUGCCCUAAGGUGGAGGAUAACCUCGGGAAACUGAGAAUAAUACUCCAUAGGUCUAAGAUACUGGAAUGUUCUUAGGCUGAAAACUCCGGUGCCUUAGGAUAAGUCUGCGGACUAUCAGGUUGUAGUCAGGGUAAAGACCUGACUAGCCUAUGACGGAUAUGGGUUGUGGGAGCAAUAACCCAGAGAUGAUAUCUGAGACACGAUAUCAGGCCCUACGGGGCGCAGCAGGCGCGAAAACUUCACACUGCGCGAAAGCGCGAUGAGGGAAUCCCAAGUGUAUGCACGUAAGUGUAUACUGUUUCUUUGUUUAAAAAGCAUAGAGAGU
rnacentral:rRNA from 1 species